CCUACGGGAGGCUGCAGUGGGGAAUAUUGGACAAUGGGGGCAACCCUGAUCCAGCUAUGCCGCGUGUGUGAAGAAGGCCCUCGGGUUGUAAAGCACUUUCAGUGAGGAAGAACGCCUGGUGGUUAAUACCCAUCAGGAAAGACAUCACUCACAGAAGAAGCACCGGCUAACUCCGUGCCAGCAGCCGCGGUAAUACGGAGGGUGCGAGCGUUAAUCGGAAUUACUGGGCGUAAAGCGCGCGUAGGUGGCUUGAUAAGCCGGUUGUGAAAGCCCCGGGCUCAACCUGGGAACGGCAUCCGGAACUGUCAAGCUAGAGUGCAGGAGAGGAAGGUAGAAUUCCCGGUGUAGCGGUGAAAUGCGUAGAGAUCGGGAGGAAUACCAGUGGCGAAGGCGGCCUUCUGGACUGACACUGACACUGAGGUGCGAAAGCGUGGGUAGCAAACAGGAUUAGAUACCCUUGUAGUC
rnacentral:rRNA from 1 species